AAAGGAAUAAAUUAGACGAAUCACCUGGAAAGUUGAACCAGAGAAGGUAAAAGUCCUGUAGUCGAAAGUUUAUUCUCUCUUGAGUGGAGCCUGAGUACGACGGAGCACGUGGAAUUCCGUCGGAAUCCGGGAGGACCAUCUCCCAAGGCUAAAUACUCUCUAGUGACCGAUAGUGAACCAGUACCGUGAGGGAAAGGUGAAAAGUACCCCGGAAGG
rnacentral:rRNA from 1 species